CUGUCUGCUGUGGCCAUUGUUUGCUGUGGCUGCUGGCAGAAAUUGAUGCUGUGCUGGAGCUGGGGGCCAAGCAUCUGACUUGGGGAUGCGGAAUUCUAUUCACCUUUCCUGUAGUGUGGAGCACGUUGGGUGUGAUUGAGAUGUGUGGCACUGACAUGUGUGGUUUGUAGUGUAGAGGAUAUUCCUAUCCCUGUACUUCCUUCUGUCAUAGUAAGCCCUUAACCCAGUUCCUUCCUAAUUUGUUGCUGGUAAUUUAAAUUAUUAAAUUAUUGCUAGUUAUUUUUUUAUAUUGAUUCUCCAAGAAGGGAAUUCCUGGUCUGCCUGGUGGAAAAGAUGUUUUAAAAUAAUUGUCAAUAAAUCUCUAUUAAAUGAUUGUA